ACGUAUACUAGUUACAGUGUUAAUUUAUCUCUACCAAAUCAAGGCCGUACUUGAUGAAAGCUUAACUAAGCCAAGACAAGUAGACAUACAGAUUUCGAUGUCUGUGAUUAGAAAUCUUUUGUAUUAUUCUAGAAAUCCUGUAUUUAAAGAAGUACUAUUAGAAUAAAGAUACUAAUUUGACAGAAAAUGUUUUGGGGACAUCUACUAAUUAUGUGUAUUUUAUUUCCCUAGAGUGUAAACUCGUUCUUCGUAUACGAAACACAUUAAAACCUUAGGCCUAAUUGUCUAUUUUCAGGUGACUGUAUUGAGAUAGUUGAAAAUGUAUAAUAGUUAUAAAAUGCUAUUACCACACCAAAGAAAAUCAUUCAACUACCUUCCAAAACCAUGAAGAGGAAAGAAGCAACUUCCUUUUAAAAAAGUAUUGCAAAUUUGAGAAAUGAGGAAGACAGCUUACAGAAGAAAUUCUUUUGCCAUCCUACAUCCCUGGUUGUUCUUGAGAAAAAAAGUUCCCUGCCACUGUGUCAAAGGAUUGAAACUGUAAGCAUUGUUACAUAAUAUCUAAGAGGUACACUGUAGCUUGUGUUCUUUUCAUAAAACAGUAUUUCUUACUAAGACCUGUUGCUUAGA